GGUAUAGAGCUUGUUCUGUCGACUGUCGCUCUAUCUUCGUUUUCUUCGUGCUUUCUCUCUCUCAGGCGUUUCAGUCUCCAUAGAAAACGAGGUUGGAGUUGAGGAACAUGGCAAAAACAUGGGUGUUCUGGGACAUCAACAGCUGUCCGGUUCCCAAAGAUUGCGAUGCUCGUCUGGUCGGUUCGUCAAUAGAAUCGGCCUUGAAGAAGGCAGGCUACUGUGAAGGUGAUCUCACCAUCACUGCCAUUGGCAACCUCAAUCACAUCUUACAACUAAACCCUAUUCGUCUUUGUCACACCCCUCCCGGGUUUUUCACCAACUCUGUUGAUGAUUUUUUGCGGUUUGAAAAUAAAAUUACGUCUCCGGCUACUUUAAUGAUCAUAACCAGUGAUGUGCACGUGGAGCAUGUAACUGCUCAUUUUCCCUACUUACGGUCUAAGGGAUACACCCCUCUUCUAGCAUAUCCGAGCAAUUCUAAAGAGCUCCCUUCUGAUAAAAACUUUUCCUGGUAGACCUUAUUGAAAGGUUCAGAGGAGAUGCGCCCCUCUGAUAUAGAUCAAUCUCUUAGGGAGUUUUCUUGCAAACUAUGUUCAGCUGAUGGCCAUACCUUUGAAGAUUUCACCACGCAUCUCAAGAGUAAAAAUCAUUUA